rnacentral:rRNA from 1 species
CCCUUAGAUGUCCUGGGCCGCACGCGCGCUACACUGAACGGAUCAGCGCGUUUUCCCUUCCCGAGAGGGACGGGUAACCUGCUGAACCCCGUUCGUGGUAGGGAUCGGGGCUUGCAAUUAUUCCCCGUGAACCAGGAAUGCCCAGUAAGUGCAAGUCAUAAGCUUGCGUUGAUUACGUCCCUGCCCUUUGUACACACCGCCCGUCGCUACUACCGAUUGAACGUUUUAGUGAGGUACUCGGACUGAGCCUCAGAAGAUUCACGUCUUUUGUGUUGCUCGGGAAGAUUCCCAAACUUGAGCGUUUAGAGGAAGUAAAAGUCGUAACA